rnacentral:lncRNA from 1 species
CUUCAUGGCUUCUGUGAAGCAGUGGCUGCGCACGCAGUUGAGCAGCAGGAUAACAGCGCCCAGGCAGUAGCAGGCGGUGUGUGGAGAGCCGAAGCCUCGGCUGAGUGCCCGCGUUUUGUGCUCCCAUCUUGCUACCACGUUCCAGAAGAAUGGGUUGAAGGCGAUAGAGAGGACGGCUGCAAUGAAGCCAGAAUCAGUCACAUCCACAUAGCUGAAGACCCGCGCCAUGGCUGUCACAUCCACCUCGCUGUAAUCCAGGCCGCCCAGCCCGCUGCAGCAAUCCCGCGGCCACCACCAAAACCCCGCUCCCCGCCGGCCUCCUGCCUGCCCCCGCUCGCCUCCCGGCCUGGGCCUCCCCGCCAUGGCACGGGGCCGGGGCCGGGGCACCCCGCGGCCUUCCCCCGGCCGGCUGCCAGCGAGCGCAGCGGCGGUGAUGGGAAGUGUAGUCCUCCCUUCGCUGCGGGGACUACAUGGCCCAGAGGACGCCGCGGCCGGAGCUGGGAGAGGCCGGGCCUGCAGCGCGGCGGCCGGGCCUGAGAGCGGCCUGCUGCGGGGCCUUGUCCCACCUGGCUCCUCGCGGGCAAGUGCUGACCUCGCUGCCGGCCCCGUCGCCUCCGUUGAGGGCUCUGAGUGUGUUCCUGGCCGCAGCACCGGGCAGGGUGGCCUGUGCUGACGGUGGCUGGACUUUGCC